GUAAAGUACGUGCACUAUAUACAUCUGGGAGAGAAAUAAUUAUGCAGUAAAUUGUUAUUGGACAUUCAACUCUUUGGAGAAUGUCUAUUGUUGGCAUGUUAAUAGCUCUGUUGUUGAGGCGAAGCCAGCAACCAUUCCAUUUUUCUCAAUCUCCCAAUCGCCAUCUUCAUUUGGUUCUUCAGAGUUGGGACAAUUCAGGUCAGUUGAGAUCCUGAGUGGCAAAUCAGCUCCAAAAACUUCCAUUUUCCUCAGUAAGCCCUCAAAUUUUUAUCUUAUUAUUGUCUGGAUGGCCAUGAGAUGGAAAAAGAAGAAAAAAAGGAAAAGAAAA
rnacentral:misc_RNA from 1 species